rnacentral:rRNA from 1 species
UGUCCUACGGGAGGCAGCAGUGGGGGAUAUUGCACAAUGGGGGGAACCCUGAUGCAGCGACGCCGCGUGAAGGAAGAAGUAUCUCGGUAUGUAAACUUCUAUCAGCAGGGAAGAAAAUGACGGUACCUGACUAAGAAGCCCCGGCUAACUACGUGCCAGCAGCCGCGGUAAUACGUAGGGGGCAAGCGUUAUCCGGAUUUACUGGGUGUAAAGGGAGCGUAGACGGCGCGGCAAGUCUGAAGUGAAAGGCAGGGGCUUAACCCCUGAACUGCUUUGGAAACUGCCAUGCUAGAGUGCUGGAGAGG